CUAUUCGGUAGCCGGCUUCUGACUCCAUCUUUGAGUGACAAGACCGUAUGCCACGUGCGUCCCUCAGCCACUGGUCUUUUCAUAAGUCAAUGCAAAUAGCGAAUAUGCGUACACAAAAUCAGUCAUUCUUGCCUUAGCCUAUAGCAUCGCUCCUUUGACUUACGUACCUUAUACAUGAUCAUCCGUUCUCUUUCUCUUGUCUUUCCCAUUGCUCUCUCUCAUUUAUAGCAUACCAGCCAUUGAUCCUCUUCACUUCGCUCGACUGAGUACUCCCCUUCGUGAGAAGGAAGGCCUAUGUAAGCAUUGUUGCAGGUCAGCGGGCUAUUAUACCUAUCUUCGCCUAUACUAUAAUAGAAAAGCCCAUCACAUUCUAGUGUGCAGAGCAGGUACAUCCGGG
rnacentral:misc_RNA from 1 species